UUAGCUUCAGAGGUUCUUCACAUGC
rnacentral:piRNA from 1 species